rnacentral:rRNA from 1 species
GAGUUUGAUCAUGGCUCANCNUUUAACGCUGGCGGCAGGCCUAACACAUGCAAGUCGAGCGGAAACGAGUUAUCUGAACCUUCGGGGAACGAUAACGGCGUCGAGCGGCGGACGGGUGAGUAAUGCCUAGGAAAUUGCCCUGAUGUGGGGGAUAACCAUUGGAAACGAUGGCUAAUACCGCAUAAUGCCUACGGGCCAAAGAGGGGGACCUUCGGGCCUCUCGCGUCAGGAUAUGCCUAGGUGGGAUUAGCUAGUUGGUGAGGUAAUGGCUCACCAAGGCGACGAUCCCUAGCUGGUCUGAGAGGAUGAUCAGCCACACUGGAACUGAGACACGGUCCAGACUCCUACGGGAGGCAGCAGUGGGGAAUAUUGCACAAUGGGCGCAAGCCUGAUGCAGCCAUGCCGCGUGUGUGAAGAAGGCCUUCGGGUUGUAAAGCACUUUCAGUCGUGAGGAAGGUAGUGUAGUUAAUAGCUGCAUUAUUUGACGUUAGCGACAGAAGAAGCACCGGCUAACUCCGUGCCAGCAGCCGCGGUAAUACGGAGGGUGCGAGCGUUAAUCGGAAUUACUGGGCGUAAAGCGCAUGCAGGUGGUUUGUUAAGUCAGAUGUGAAAGCCCGGGGCUCAACCUCGGAAUUGCAUUUGAAACUGGCAGACUAGAGUACUGUAGAGGGGGGUAGAAUUUCAGGUGUAGCGGUGAAAUGCGUAGAGAUCUGAAGGAAUACCGGUGGCGAAGGCGGCCCCCUGGACAGAUACUGACACUCAGAUGCGAAAGCGUGGGGAGCAAACAGGAUUAGAUACCCUGGUAGUCCACGCCGUAAACGAUGUCUACUUGGAGGUUGUGGCCUUGAGCCGUGGCUUUCGGAGCUAACGCGUUAAGUAGACCGCCUGGGGGGGUACGGUCGCAAGAUUAAAACUCAAAUGAAUUGACGGGGGCCCNCACAAGCGGUGGAGCAUGUGGUUUAAUUCGAUGCACCCCGAANAACCUUA